rnacentral:rRNA from 1 species
GCGGCCUACGGGACGCAGCAGUGGGGAAUAUUGCACAAUGGGGGAAACCCUGAUGCAGCGACGCCGCGUGAGUGAAGAAGUAAUUCGUUAUGUAAAGCUCUAUCAGCAGGGAAGAAAAUGACGGUACCUGAGUAAGAAGCCCCGGCUAACUACGUGCCAGCGGCCGCGGUAAUACGUAGGGGGCAAGCGUUAUCCGGAUUACUGGGUGUAAAGGGAGCGUAGACGGCAGUGCAAGUCUGGAGUGAAAGGCGGGGGCUCAACCCCCGGACUGCUCUGGGAACUGUACGGCUGGAGCGCAGGAGGGG